UCUAAGUAUAACCUGCCAGACAGGGAAACUGCGUACGGCUCAUUACACCAGCCUUAAUUGACUUGACCUUGACAACCUACUUGGAUAACUGUGGUAAUUCUAGAGCUAAUACAUGCACCAAAGCUCCGAUCCUCGCGGAGAGGAGCGCAUUUGUUCGCCACAAAACCAAGCGCCCAUCUGGGCGUCCAGUGCUGAACCAGAACAACUCAGCUGAUCGCACGGUCUUGUACCGGCGACGUGUCUUUCAAGUGUCUGCCUUAUCAACUUUCGAUGGUAGUGUACCUGACUACCAUGGUUGUGACGGGUAACGGAGGAUAAGGGUUCGACUCCGGAGAAGGGGCCUGAGAAAUGGCCACUACGUCUAAGGAUGGCAGCAGGCGCGCAAAUUACCCACUCUCAACGCGAGGAGGUAGUGACGAGAAAUAACGAGACCGUUCUCAUACGAGGCCGGUUAUUGGAAUGGGUACAAUUUAAA
rnacentral:rRNA from 1 species